rnacentral:rRNA from 1 species
GACGAACGCUGGCGGCGUGCUUAACACAUGCAAGUCGAACGGAAAGGCCCUGCUUGCAGGGUACUCGAGUGGCGAACGGGUGAGUAACACGUGGGUGAUCUGCCCUGCACUUCGGGAUAAGCUUGGGAAACUGGGUCUAAUACCGGAUAGGAACCAUCUUUAGUGUGGUGGUUGGAAAGUUUUUUCGGUGUAGGAUGAGCUCGCGGCCUAUCAGCUUGUUGGUGGGGUAAUGGCCUACCAAGGCGGCGACGGGUAGCCGGCCUGAGAGGGUGUACGGCCACAUUGGGACUGAGAUACGGCCCAGACUCCUACGGGAGGCAGCAAUGGGGAAUAUUGCACAAUGGGCGCAAGCCUGAUGCAGCGACGCCGCGUGGGGGAUGAAGGCCUUCGGGUUGUAAACUCCUUUCGCUAGGUACGAAGCUUUGUUGUGACGGUACCUAGAUAAGAAGCACCGGCUAACUACGUG